GUAUUAUAAACUAAGAACAAACCUGUGUCAACUGUUGAUAUGUGAAGCCUUUUUCGACCAGGUUUACUUUGGCGUUUGGACACUUCAGAGCACACUAAUUUAUUUCUUGUCAUCCUUUUGGGGCGUACUUGCCAUUGGAUAACAUCCAUCUUCUUCAUCUAGAUAUAAAGUAUUUAAUAUAGGAUACACUGCUUAGAAUCUUCAAUCUAAAUAUUAAAGGGAUAUUAAAGUGUCACACCACAAUACAGGCGGCCAUUUUAUGGGCCGACUACAACCCAACGUCUUUUGUAUCAAUCCGUCGUAUAUUUAAGCCAUCCUUUGUGAAUCCUUGCUGCUUUUAUAUAAUUCUUACUGGCAAUGUACCAUAUAUGAUAUUUUAAACUUUAUUUGUUGAUUUUGGGAGAGAUAAAAACAAUAACAAAGCCAUGAUACUAUGACGUAUUCUGUCGCUAUACAGAUAUGUAAAACAUGCCGUCAAUACCGGCAAAUGCGACAUAAAUAUUGCAUAAAAUUCAUUCAACUUACCCUCGAUACUUAUCGCUGCUUUCCGAGUCGUUUCUUGCCUUAUUUCAGCCAUACCCGAGAACCGCAGAAUCGACCCGAGAAACGCGCAUUAUAUGCACUGAGCUAUAAUAUUACUGGAGGAGCUGCUCCUAUCUUUCCGCCAGUCAUUCAAGUGAAGCCAAAAACAUGGCGGAUCUUACGCCAUUGCCAUGACUACUGGUUCUUAUUUCUCAUGGUAAUUACCACUGACCAACCGCGAUCCUACGCUUUAAAUAAUAUCUUUCACCCCCCUGGUUUUUUUCACAAAUAUGAAAUAUUUUGGUUUUAUAGUUUGUCUUUGAACUGAAAAUCUUGAUAUUUUUCAUCAAUUUUGUCUGUUUUACAAAGUCAGGGAAGACGGUGCAUUUUUGCUGUGCCUGUUAUGGCUCUAAAAGGAGAAUAUUACCGGUAAGAUUCACGAUUUUUUUACUUUCUCGCUUGGCAACGUUGCCAUAUAUUUUUAACACUCGUGGAUAUCUCAAAACCUGAUGCUAUAUUAAAACUGCGAGUAUUACUAGUUUCAGCAGUGUUUUCAUUUCUACAUUGACAUUGUAGUUUUAAGCAAGUUUUCCUGGACAAACUCUUUCCUGUCUUGUUUUAUUAAACUCAUUUCUUGGGUUUCACGGUGCUUCGGCUUUGUUUUUAAAAUUGUUUAUUGAUUUAGGUUUUUAAGUGCUAGUUUUGCCAGGUUUUUGAAAUAGCAGCUAUCUACUGUGUAGCUUUGUAUUUUAUACAGGACAUGUAGGGUGUGAGUGCACAGCCAACCUUUCCAGCACUUCCAAAGCAUCCAGCACUUCAGCAUCAAGUAGUUUAUAUUAUUUAACCCAUUGAGGGCCAGAACGUUUAACUAUAGACACAUGAGCAGAUAGCCUGAUUAAUCCAUUGAGGGCCAGCACUCACCCCUUGAUGAGUAAAAUAACCUGGCAUUUGACAGAGUGAAACAGUAAAGUAGGGUGCAUCAGGACACAAUGCGACUUACUGGGUUAAACAUGAGUUUUAUGAUUUGUAGCACUACCCACAUUGUAUUAUUAACCCGUUAAGUUGCAAUGUGCCCAGAUGCGCCCUACAUUAUUAUUUUACUCUGUCUAACGCCGGACAAUUUUACUCGUCAUGGGGUAGGUGCUGCCACUCAACAUAUUUAGGUUAAUUCCGAUCUUCGAUUUAGCUGGAAUGACCCAAUACAUGCCAUUUGCUACUGUAAAAUUGUAAACAUGCCGGAUUUUUUUUAUCUAGGCGCUGAUACUGAAAUGUGAAAAAGAAAGCCACCCGAGGUCUUAAAUGUUCAAAUAUCAAGAGUGGUGUUGUAGACAUCAGACAUGUAGUGGUGCACCAUAUGUUAAAAUUAAAUAUUGUCCAACUUACAAAAGUAAGGGCCCUGGCCAGAAUUCCUGCCUGAACUGGAAAGAUAACUUCAUUUUAUCAUUGCUAUCAGACUGUGAUAAACAUAGAAUCAUGUUAUUGUCAGUAGUGUUUUUAAAUACAAUAUGAAUGUUUACAGUUAUAAUUAUAACUUGUAUGGUUGUAUAUAUAGUUUGUAAAACUUGUUCUUGCUGAUUUAUAAUUAUUCUUUUAAGAAGGUAUAAACAAAAUAGUGAAAACCCCUGGGGGUAAUGUAGGGUAAAGGAGGGAGGGUAUCUAUUUAUCUGUGAAUUAAUGAUAAUUUAUUUCAAGCACACAGGGCUGAUUGACUGCAGGGGGUCUAACAUCCCCGGGUCCAAUCUUUUCAAAUGUGUCCCCCAAUUUUUGGAGGGCCACUGGUUUGUCAGUUUUUACUGUUGUGUCUACCCUCCAUAAAUAAAGAAGUUGAUAUAAAUAAUAAUAAAAUGCCAAAAUGCUGGAAUUGCCAAACAUGUGAAUUUUUUGGGAAUGUUGUGCAAAAUUCAGAGGCCAAUUCUAUAAAGGUUAUGCUGAAAAAAUUUUAAUUAAUCUUUUUUGCAAACAACGGUUUGGGAAAAGAAACAAUUACCCCUCGCCAAACUUUUGCGAAUAAUUUUGGGGACCCAAAAGGCGAAGGGGCCCAAAGUUCUGUAUUCACCCUCCCAGAGAUGUGUCGGCUGGCACGGCCCUGCAAGUACAAUACAAUUGUGUUUUGUGUGAGCCAGAAAAUAAAUAAAUCUCACCAAAACAUGUCUUUUUGUGUGAUAAAUGAUGUCUUAAUAAAGAAUGUUUAAUAGAGAGGGGG